rnacentral:lncRNA from 1 species
GUGGGUCUUGACAGUCUGCGAGGACCCGAGUAGAAACUGGGUGGGUGGGGAAAGGGAGAUGAAAGCCUUUACCAGUUUGGCUUCCAUCCUAUUCCCCGGAACAGGAGCGGUCAAACGGGAGGGUGGGGGGCGGGGUGGCAAUUUAUCAGGACUUGCUUCUUUUUGCUUUCCACAGAAAUUGCAUUUUAGUUCCUGACUAAUGAUUUCUCCUGUUCUUAAAGCCAAGGGAAAGAGAGCUGCAGAUUUGCCCUAAAUUUUCACAGCCGGAUUCAAGGUAUUCCAGACUACUUGUAGGCGCUUUUCAAGAUUCCAUCUGCUGCACUUGACUUAUGAAGUGACAUUUGGGAAAUGUGUCUACUGGGGGCGAAAAGCCUCGGAGCCAGGUAACUCAGCUGCAGUGUUGCUCAGAAACACAGGAAGGAAGACAAACUCAUUGAACAGUCGGCCAACUGAAAUUCGUUGCAGGAGCUGACCUAGAAAAAUGCACCCUUACCAAGCAGAUUUCUAAGUGCAUAAGGCCAAGGGUCAUGCCCCCUGUGGAGAGCUGAUUUCAUGGACUCUUGGAAUGGAAGAACCCUUUAAAACCCACUGAGUAGCCUAUCCAGCUCUUCAGCGAGGACUCUUCCUGUUUUUGAACCACCGACUCUUUCAAGAUUAAAAAAGGAAAAAAGAUUAUGAUCUUCACUUCAGAAUGGUGCACAUGUGAGAAGUAUCACAGUCGUUUUCAAGGGAUCUACUCAGAACUCCUGCCUCAUGUGUUUGCCAUAUUUGCAAAAAAAGAGAAUGUUUUAAAAUUUCAAUCUUUGUUUUUUUUUUUUUGGUACCAGAGAUCGAACUCAGGACCUUGCAGUUGCAAGGCAGGCACGGUGCUACUGAGCUAAAUCCCUGGCCCACACAGCCAUUUUAAUACUACAGAGAUUGGCUUUAUUUUAAGCUGCCUCAUAAAUUGACUGGUCAUGUGCCUCAGUGGCUUCUGUGACAUUUAUCACCACUUAGUGAAUUUUAAUGCAGU